rnacentral:rRNA from 1 species
GACGAACGCUGGCGGCGUGCUUAACACAUGCAAGUCGAACGCUGAAGCUUGGUGCUUGCACUGGGUGGAUGAGUGGCGAACGGGUGAGUAAUACGUGAGUAACCUGCCCUUGACUCUGGGAUAAGCCUGGGAAACUGGGUCUAAUACUGGAUAUGACAUGCCACUGCAUGGUGGUGUGUGGAAAGGGUUUUUCUGGUUUUGGAUGGGCUCACGGCCUAUCAGCUUGUUGGUGGGGUAAUGGCCUACCAAGGCGACGACGGGUAGCCGGCCUGAGAGGGUGGCCGGCCACACUGGGACUGAGGCACGGCCCAGACUCCUACGGGAGGCAGCAGUGGAGAAUAUUGCACAAUGGGCGGAAGCCUGAUGCAGCGACGCCGCGUGAGGGAUGACGGCCUUCGGGUUGUAAACCUCUUUCAGCACGGAAGAAGCGAGAGUGACGGUACGUGCAGAAGAAGCGCCGGCUAACUACGUG